GCGAGUUUCGUAUAACGGCUAUUACCUCAGCCUUCCAAGCUGAUGAUACGGGUUCGAUUCCCGUAACCCGCUCCA
rnacentral:tRNA from 1 species